rnacentral:rRNA from 1 species
UACGUAGGGUGCGAGCGUUGUCCGGAAUUAUUGGGCGUAAAGAGCUUGUAGGCGGUUUGUCGCGUCUGCUGUGAAAAUCCGGGGCUCAACCCCGGACUUGCAGUGGGUACGGGCAGACUAGAGUGUGGUAGGGGAGACUGGAAUUCUUGGUGUAGCGGUGAAAUGCGUAGAUAUCAAGAGGAACACCUGAGGUGAAGACGGGUUGCUGGGCUGACACUGACGCUGAGGCGCGAAAGCAUGGGGGAGCGAACAGG